UUUUAAGGGACCCGACUGCUAUCGGAUUGAGAUUUAGCCCAUGCGGGUCGAACGCUUCCUGGAGUGCAAGGGGCGUGGCGUACGGCUCAGUAACACGUAGUCAACCUGCCCUGGAGACGUGGACAACCCCGGGAAACUGGGAUUAAUCCAUGAUAGGUCAUCUCAUCUGGAAGGAGAGAUGGCUUAAAGGGACGCACGGGCUUCUUCCGUGUAAUUCGCUCCAGGAUGGGACUGCGACCGAUCAGGCUGUUGGCGGGGUAAUGGCCCACCAAACCUGUUACCGGUACGGGCCUUGAGAGAGGGGGCCCGGAGAUGGACACUGAGAGAAGGGUCCAGGUCCUACGGGGCGCAGCAGGCGCGAAACCUUCGCAAUGCGCGAAAGCGUGACGAGGUUAAUCCGAGUGGCCCCCGCUGAGGGGGUCUUUUGUCGGCUGUAAAAAGGCCGGUGAAUAAGGGGAGGGCAAGUCUGGUGUCAGCCGCCGCGGUAAUACCAGCUCCUCGAGUGGUCGGGGCGAUUAUUGGGCCUAAAGCAUCCGUAGCCUGUUCCGUAGGUCCCCUGUUAAAUCCAACGGCUUAACCGUUGGCCUGCAGAGGAUACCGCGGGACUAGGAGGCGGGAGAGGUGGGCGGUACUCCACGUGUAGGGGUAAAAUCCUUUGAUCCGUGGAAGACCGCCAGUGGCGAAGGCGGCCCACCAGAACGCGCUCGACGGUGAGGGAUGAAAGCUGGGGGAGCGAACCGGAUUAGAUACCCGGGUAGUCCCAGCCGUAAACGAUGCGAGCUAGAUGAUCCAGUCGCAAAUCGCGAUUGGAGUGUCGCAGGGAAGCCGUUAAGCUCGCCAAAUGGGGCGUNCGGUCGCCNGNCUGAAACUUAAGGCCCUCUCUACGGGGGAGCACAAGGGCGAAUUCCAGCA
rnacentral:rRNA from 1 species